rnacentral:rRNA from 1 species
CCUACGGGAGGCAGCAGUGGGGAAUAUUGCACAAUGGGCGGAAGCCUGAUGCAGCGACGCCGCGUGAGGGAUGAAGGCCUUCGGGUUGUAAACCUCUUUCAGCAGGGACGAAGCGUGAGUGACGGUACCUGCAGAAGAAGCACUGGCUAACUACGUGCCAGCAGCCGCGGUAAUACGUAGGGUGCGAGCGUUGUCCGGAAUUACUGGGCGUAAAGAGUUCGUAGGCGGUUUGUCGCGUCGUUUGUGAAAACCCGGGGCUCAACUUCGGGCUUGCAGGCGAUACGGGCAGACUUGAGUGUUUCAGGGGAGACUGGAAUUCCUGGUGUAGCGGUGAAAUGCGCAGAUAUCAGGAGGAACACCGGUGGCGAAGGCGGGUCUCUGGGAAACAACUGACGCUGAGGAACGAAAGCGUGGGUAGCAAACAGGAUUAGAUACCCUGGUAGUCCACGCCGUAAACGGUGGGCGCUAGGUGUGGGUUCCUUCCACGGGAUCUGUGCCGUAGCUAACGCAUUAAGCGCCCCGCCUGGGGAGGUACGGCGCGAGACAACUACAANAGAUGCGGCGNGAGACGNGCCGACGGACGACGACGAGGGAGGUAGG